GUACGGGGGGGCAAGCGUUGUUCGGAAUUACUGGGCGUAAAGGGCGCGUAGGCGGUUCGCUAAGUUGAAUGUGAAAACUCUGGGCUUAACCCAGAGCCUGCAUUCAAUACUGGCGGGCUAGAGUUCUGGAGGGGAUAGCGGAAUUCCUGGUGUAGCGGUGAAAUGCGUAGAUAUCAGGAGGAACACCGGUGGCGAAGGCGGCUAUCUGGACAGAGUCUGACGCUGAGGCGCGAAAGCUAGGGGAGCAAACAGG
rnacentral:rRNA from 1 species